AAGAAACAAAAUGAAAUCAAUGAUUUUAUAUUACAAUCAAUCUAAAUGAAAUGUCUGCCUUCUUUUAAUCUUUUCUCCCUUUUAAUCUGGCUAGGCCAAAUGCUUGUGAAGCAUUUUAGCAGUUGAACAUAACGCUAAGGUCUAGGACAGGCUUGAACCUAAGUCUGUAAAACUUCCAUUGGAUCAUGGCACUAGAAAUAAUUUAGUUUCGGCUGAAAAUUAUUUAUCAAAUGUUAGAACUUUAAUUAUGGUACACCCUGAAGUGAUUUAAAAUUGUCUUCCAGGCAAUCAUGAAGUGUAUUGCAAUUAUAUAUAACAUAAUUCUCUAGGAUAUUAGAUCACAAUCAAGUUUCCAUUUUUGAAUUGUUAAACCACAGAUUUCCAAGGUUAAAUAAUAAAUUAAAAAAUGCCAAAAGAACAAUAUUGAUGCAGGAUGUUUCAUAUUAGUUGUAUGAAAUCCCUACAUAAAUUACAUCAAUGCCAAUAUCUUCAACGGAAAUCUUAUUGCUAGAACAUACUCCUUUUUCAAAACAAAAAUAU
rnacentral:misc_RNA from 1 species